rnacentral:tRNA from 1 species
GCGCGGGCGGUCAGGGCAGCUUGGUGGUGCGGAUCUUCCAUGGCCGCCGGCGCGCGGCGGUGGAGACGGACGUGCGUUCGGCCAUAUUCAGCGCC